rnacentral:rRNA from 1 species
UACGUAGGUGGCGAGCGUUGUCCGGAAUCACUGGGCGUAAAGGGCGCGUAGGCGGUUAUUCAAGUCACAUGUGAAAUACCAGGGCUCAACCUUGGGGGGUCAUGUGAAACUGGAUGACUUGAGUGCAGUAGAGGAAAGCGGAAUUCCUGGUGUAGCGGUAAAAUGCGUAGAGAUCAGGAGGAACACCGGUGGCGAAGGCGGCUUUCUGGGCUGUAACUGACGCUGAGGCGCGAAAGCGUGGGGAGCAAACAGG